rnacentral:rRNA from 1 species
GACGAACGCUGGCGGCGUGCUUAACACAUGCAAGUCGAACGGAAAGGCCCUGCUUUUGUUGGUUGCUCGAGUGGCGAACGGGUGAGUAACACGUGAGUAACCUGCCCUUGACUUUGGGAUAACUUCAGGAAACUGGGGCUAAUACCGGAUAGGAGCUCCUGCUGCAUGGUGGUGGUUGGUAAGUUUCGGCGGUUGGGGAUGGACUCGCGGCUUAUCAGCUUGUUGGUGGGGUAGGGGCUUACCAAGGCUUUGACGGGUAGCCGGCCUGAGAGGGUGACCGGCGACAUGGGGACUGCGGUACGGCCCAGACUCCUACGGGAGGCAGCAGUGGGGAAUAUUGCACAAUGGGCGGAAGCCUGAUGCAGCAACGCCGCGUGCGGGAUGACGGCCUUCGGGUUGUAAACCGCUUUCGCCUGUGACGAAGCGUUAGUGACGGUAAUGGGUAAAGAAGCACCGGCUAACUACGUG